rnacentral:rRNA from 2 species
AGCGGAUGAGUGGAGCUUGCUCCACGAUUCAGCGGCGGACGGGUGAGUAAUGCCUAGGAAUCUGCCUGGUAGUGGGGGACAACGUUUCGAAAGGAACGCUAAUACCGCAUACGUCCUACGGGAGAAAGCAGGGGACCUUCGGGCCUUGCGCUAUCAGAUGAGCCUAGGUCGGAUUAGCUAGUUGGUGAGGUAAUGGCUCACCAAGGCGACGAUCCGUAACUGGUCUGAGAGGAUGAUCAGUCACACUGGAACUGAGACACGGUCCAGACUCCUACGGGAGGCAGCAGUGGGGAAUAUUGGACAAUGGGCGAAAGCCUGAUCCAGCCAUGCCGCGUGUGUGAAGAAGGUCUUCGGAUUGUAAAGCACUUUAAGUUGGGAGGAAGGGUUGUAGGUUAAUACCCUGCAAUUUUGACGUUACCGACAGAAUAAGCACCGGCUAACUUCGUGCCAGCAGCCGCGGUAAUACGAAGGGUGCAAGCGUUAAUCGGAAUUACUGGGCGUAAAGCGCGCGUAGGUGGUUUGUUAAGUUGGAUGUGAAAGCCCCGGGCUCAACCUGGGAACUGCAUCCAAAACUGGCAAGCUAGAGUAUGGCAGAGGGUGGUGGAAUUUCCUGUGUAGCGGUGAAAUGCGUAGAUAUAGGAAGGAACACCAGUGGCGAAGGCGACCACCUGGGCUAAUACU